rnacentral:rRNA from 1 species
UACAGAGGGGGCAAGCGUUGUUCGGAAUUACUGGGCGUAAAGGGCGCGUAGGCGGCCGCCUAAGUCAGACGUGAAAUCCCUCGGCUCAACCGGGGAACUGCGUCUGAUACUGGGUGGCUUGAAUCCGGGAGAGGGAUGCGGAAUUCCGAGGUGUAGCGGUGAAAUGCGUAGAUAUCUGGAGGAACACCGGUGGCGAAGGCGGCAUCCUCGGACCGGCAUUGACGCUGAGGCGCGAAAGCCAGGGGAGCAAAGCGGG